rnacentral:pre_miRNA from 1 species
UGAUGAUGAUGAUGAUGAUGAUGAUGAUGAUGAUGAUGAUGUAGAUCAUGAUCAUGAUCUUCGUCGUCGUCAUCGUCAUCGUCAUCGCCUUCGUCA